UGGCUGAGACAGGUCCCACCUCCUGCGAUCCUGAGAGUGGGGACUAGUGGGAAGGGUCUCUGAUGGGCAGGGAGAGGUCCCAGGAUGCUGAGCUAGUCCAGGACUGCCCCCUCCUGGCCCACUCAGAGUUCCCGGGUGUGAGAAGCUCCAUCUCCUGUGGGGGGCAUUGGCCUUGCCCUAUCUCUGCCUCCAGCAUCCAGGGCGGCCGCAGAUGGCAGUGUCUCUGGGGACAGCAGCUGCGAAUGAGUCCACGGGCCGACACUGAGCUGCUCAGGCUGAGGCGGUGUGCUCAGCGCAGAGCCCCCGGAACUGGCAUCUGCAGGGCGUGAGCCAAGGCCGCCGCGAUGCCGCACUUCCUGGACUGGUUCGUGCCGGUCUAUUUGGUCAUCUCCGUCCUCAUUCUGGUGGGCUUCGGCGCCUGCAUUUACUACUUCGAGCCGGGUCUGCAGGAGGCGCACAAGUGGCGCAUGCAGCGCCCCCUGGUGGACCGCGACCUCCGCAAGACGCUGAUGGUGCGCGACAACCUGGCCUUCGGCGGCCCCGAGGUCUGAGCCGACUCGCGAACGGGACCGGCGGGCAGCACUGGGUGCCUUCUCCCAGCCCUCCCAGCCCGCCCAGCCGGGAGACCCCCAAGGCAGAGGGAGGCCGGCCUCUUGGCCCUCUGGGCCAUCCCUCUGCAGCCUGGGACUUCCCAACUGAGGCCCCAGGUGCUCUGGGAGGACGCUGGCAGUGGAGUUGGGGCACCCGGGUGCCUGGACGAGUUGCUGCUGCCGGCCCAGGGCUUGCUCUCCGUGUCAAGCCAACUCACUCGAGCCCACUCUCCCCAGCUCUGGGGCAUCCUCUGCUGGACCCCAGUGCCUUUGCGCUGCGCAGCACUCUGCCCCCGACUAGAGUCAGGCAUGACAAUAGUUGCCUGUCGUGAGCCUCCCAAGCCCUCAUUUCUUCGUGGAAUACCUAGUUUCCCCACUCAGCUCCCCUGCCUCCACUCAAUAGCACCAGCGCUGCAGCUUUAGGCAGCAGGCGUGGAAGCUAACCCCGGGAGAGAACCUAAGAACCUCGCUUGAAGGGAUGCCAGCUUGGGCCAGCCCAGUCCCACUCCACAGGGCUCAGGCUUGGAACUGGUGAGGCUGUGUGGUGGGGACAUGCAGAGGGGUAAGACCGUGGGGGAAGAGAGGGUUGGAGAGGAAAGAGAGAGAAAAAAAGUCUGGGGGAGUGGGCAAGCGUGGGGAGGUGAUGAGAUGUGUACAUGUGAGAGAGCGUGGGGGCUCCAGGCAGGGUAAGAGGUGGUAGAAACAGGGCGAGCUCUGUGGGCCGUGUGAGGACUAUCCAUAUGGGUCCUAACCCUCUCCCUCUGCUGGACUUUCCUAGCCCUUCCUCCUCCCCAAGACCGAGGUAGCUGGCAGGAACCCCUGCACUCCCUCCCCAUCCUGUGCCACACUUCUGGGGCCAAGCCCAGCCCCCUUGAGCGAGGCCCUGCCAGAUGCCAUGCUCACCCUGGAGCCCUCCUCCUGUGUGGAGCCUGUGUCGUCCCACUUUGGACACAGAUUGGCAACCUGUCUCACCUCACCCCGCCCCACUUUGCUGGGGCUUCCAUCUUAAUUUAUUCCCAGUAAUAAACCCUCCAUGAUGAUCUCUGCA